CAUUUUAAAUUUAUUUAGUAUGCAAUUUCAUUUCUAUUGUUAUUACUUUUAAUAAAUAAAAAAUAAAUAAAUAUAUUUUAAUUGAUUUUUACUCCGUAACACACAAUGUUGUGUUAGUAGUGUCUUUAACCAUAUUUCUCUCCGAUAGAGUAACUCUUUUUUUAUUCCUAAUAAUAGUGUGAUACGAAAACACAUGUGUUUUUCAUUUCCUUUAUGAAUUUCACAACAUUUAUGCAUGAAAAUAACAUAUUAC
rnacentral:misc_RNA from 1 species